rnacentral:rRNA from 1 species
GAUGAACGCUGGCGGCGUGCCUAAUACAUGCAAGUCGAGCGAACAGACGAGGAGCUUGCUCCUCUGACGUUAGCGGCGGACGGGUGAGUAACACGUGGAUACCUUCCUUAUAAGACGGGGUUAAUUUGGGGAAACGGGACCUAUUACGGGAAAAAUUAUUGAACCGCAGGUUUCAUUAUGAAAGAAGGGUUUUGCGUUACCUUUUGGAUGGAUCCGCGCCGCAUUAGCUAGUUGGUAAGGUAACGGCUUACCAAGGCAACGAUGCGUAGCCGACCUGAGAGGGUGAUCGGCCACACUGGAACUGAGACACGGUCCAGACUCCUACGGGAGGCAGCAGUAGGGAAUCUUCCGCAAUGGGCGAAAGCCUGACGGAGCAACGCCGCGUGAGUGAUGAAGGUCUUCGGAUCGUAAAACUCUGUUAUUAGGGAAGAACAAAUGUGUAAGUAACUAUGCACGUCUUGACGGUACCUAAUCAGAAAGCCACGGCUAACUACGUG